rnacentral:rRNA from 1 species
UCAGGCUUGGCCCGGCUGGAGUGGGUCUUGUACCCGAUACGAGGCCGGACGCCUGUCUGUAGGUGGAAAGUUUUUUCGGUUGGGGAUGGGCUCGCGGCCUAUCAGUUUGUUGGUGAGGUAAUGGCUCACCAAGACGACUACGGGUAGCCGUACUGAGAGGGCGACCGGCCACACUGGGACUGAGACACGGCCCAGACUCCUACGGGAGGCAGCAGUGGGGAAUAUUGCACAAUGGGGGAAACCCUGAUGCAGCGACGCAGCGUGCGGGAUGACGGCCUUCGGGUUGUAAACCGCUUUCAGCAGGGAAGAAGCGCAAGUGACGGUACCUGCAGAAGAAGUACCGGCUAACUACGUGCCAGCAGCCGCGGUAAUACGUAGGGUACGAGCGUUGUCCGGAAUUAUUGGGCGUAAAGAGCUCGUAGGUGGUUGGUCACGUCUGCUGUGGAAACGCAACGCUUAACGUUGCGCGUGCAGUGGGUACGGGCUGACUAGAGUGCAGUAGGGGAGUCUGGAAUUCCUGGUGUAGCGGUGAAAUGCGCAGAUAUCAGGAGGAACACCGGUGGCGAAGGCGGGACUCUGGGCUGUAACUGACACUGAGGAGCGAAAGCAUGGGGAGCGAACAGGAUUAGAUACCCUGGUAGUCCAUGCCGUAAACGUUGGGCACUAGGUGUGGGGGGCAUUCCACGUUCUCCGCGCCGUA